rnacentral:rRNA from 1 species
CCUACGGGAGGCAGCAGUGAGGAAUAUUGGUCAAUGGACGAGAGUCUGAACCAGCCAAGUAGCGUGAAGGAUGACUGCCCUAUGGGUUGUAAACUUCUUUUAUAAAGGAAUAAAACGAGGCACGUGUGCCUUUUUGCAUGUACUUUAUGAAUAAGGAUCGGCUAACUCCGUGCCAGCAGCCGCGGUAAUACGGAGGAUCCGAGGGUUAUCCGGAUUUAUUGGGUUUAAAGGGAGCGUAGAUGGGUUGUUAAGUCAGUUGUGAAAGUUUGCGGCUCAACCGUAAAAUUGCAAUUGAUACUGGCAGUCGUGAGUACAGUUGAGGUAGGCGGAAUUCGUGGUGUAGCGGUGAAAUGCUUAGAUAUCACGAAGAACCCCGAUUGCGAAGGCAGCUUACUAAACUGUGACUGACAUUGAUGCUCGAAAGUGUGGGUAUCAAACAGGAUUAGAUACCCCUGUAGUC